GACGAACGCUGGCGGCGUGCUUAACACAUGCAAGUCGAACGGAAAGGCCCUGCUUUUGUGGGGUGCUCGAGUGGCGAACGGGUGAGUAACACGUGAGUAACCUGCCCUUGACUUUGGGAUAACUUCAGGAAGCUGGGGCUAAUACCGGAUAGGAGCUCCUGCUGCAUGGUGGGGGUUGGAAAGUUUCGGCGGUUGGGGAUGGACUCGCGGCUUAUCAGCUUGUUUGUGGGGUAGUGGCUUACCAAGGCUUUGACGGGUAGCCGGCCUGAGAGGGUGACCGGCCACAUUGGGCCUGAGAUACGGCCCAGACUCCUACGGUAGGCAGCAGUGGGGAAUAUUGCACAAUGGGCGGAAGCCUGAUGCAGCCACGCCGCGUGCGGGAUGACGGCCUUCGGGUUGUAAACCGCUUUCGCCUGUGACGAAGCGUGAGUGACGGUAAUGGGUAAAGAAGCACCGGCUAACUACGUG
rnacentral:rRNA from 1 species